UGAGGAAUAUUGGUCAAUGGGCGAGAGCCUGAACCAGCCAAGUAGCGUGUAGGAUGACGGCCCUAUGGGUUGUAAACUGCUUUUAUAUGGGAAUAAAGUGAGGGACGUGUCCCUUAUUGCAUGUACCAUACGAAUAAGGACCGGCUAAUUCCGUGCCAGCAGCCGCGGUAAUACGGAAGGUCCAGGCGUUAUCCGGAUUUAUUGGGUUUAAAGGGAGCGUAGGCUGUUUGUUAAGCGUGUUGUGAAAUGUAAGAGCUCAACUUUUAGAUUGCAGCGCGAACUGGCAGACUUGAGUGCGCACAACGUAGGCGGAAUUCAUGGUGUGGCGGUGAAAUGCGUAGAUAUCAUGACGGACUCCGAUUGCGAAGGCAGCUUACGGGAGCGCAACUGACGCUAAAGCUCGAAGGUGCGGGUAUCGAACAGG
rnacentral:rRNA from 1 species